GUAGGCCUACGGGACGCAGCAGUGAGGAAUAUUGGUCAAUGGGCGCGAGCCUGAACCAGCCAAGUGGCGUGAAGGAUGACUGCCCUACGGGUUGUAAACUUCUUUUAUAAAGGAAUAAAGUGAGGCACGUGUGCCUUUUUGUAUGUACCAUAUGAAUAAGGAUCGGCUAACUCCGUGCCAGCAGCCGCGGUAAUACGGAGGAUCCGAGCGUUAUCCGGAUUUAUUGGGUUUAAAGGGAGCGUAGGUGGAUUGUUAAGUCAGUUGUGAAAGUUUGCGGCUCAACCGUAAAAUUGCAGUUUAAACUG
rnacentral:rRNA from 1 species